rnacentral:rRNA from 1 species
GACGAACGCUGGCGGCGUGCUUAACACAUGCAAGUCAAGCGGUAAGGCCCUUUCGGGGGUACACGAGCGGCGAACGGGUGAGUAACACGUGGGUGACCUGCCCUCAGCUCUGGGAUAAGCCUGGGAAACCGGGUCUAAUACCGGAUAUGACUCCAUGACGCAUGUUGUGGGGUGGAAAGCCUUGUGCGGCUGAGGAUGGGCCCGCGGCCUAUCAGCUUGUUGGUGGGGUGAUGGCCUACCAAGGCGACGACGGGUAGCCGGCCUGAGAGGGCGACCGGCCACACUGGGACUGAGACACGGCCCAGACUCCUACGGGAGGCAGCAGUGGGGAAUCUUGCGCAAUGGGCGAAAGCGUGACGCAGCAACGCCGCGUGGGGAAGACGGCCUGGU